rnacentral:rRNA from 1 species
CUUGCUCUCUGGGUGACGAGCGGCGGACGGGUGAGUAAUGUCUGGGAAACUGCCUGAUGGAGGGGGAUAACUACUGGAAACGGUAGCUAAUACCGCAUAACGUCUACGGACCAAAGUGGGGGACCUUCUGGCCUCACGCCAUCAGAUGUGCCCAGAUGGGAUUAGCUAGUAGGUGGGGUAAUGGCUCACCUAGGCGACGAUCCCUAGCUGGUCUGAGAGGAUGACCAGCCACACUGGAACUGAGACACGGUCCAGACUCCUACGGGAGGCAGCAGUGGGGAAUAUUGCACAAUGGGCGCAAGCCUGAUGCAGCCAUGCCGCGUGUGUGAAGAAGGCCUUAGGGUUGUAAAGCACUUUCAGCGAGGAGGAAGGGUA